UUGUCCAUCCUAAUUCCUGCUGGUCGCAACAGUACCAGCCAGGUUUCGCUGGUGGACCAAAGUAUAGCAGAAAUCCUCUUUGGGAGCUGUGGGGCAUCUGUGCCGUGGGCUCACAGCCAGCCUGGGGUCUCUAAACACAG
rnacentral:snoRNA from 1 species